UUUCCGUAGGUGAACCUGCGGAAGGAUCAUUAUUGUCUAACCGAGGUGCGAGGGCUGUCGCUGACCCUAAAGGUCGUGCACGCCCGAGUGCCCUCACACACAUCCAUCACACCCCUAUGUGCACCACCGCGUGGGUCCCCCUUUGGCUUGUUCGGAGGGGUGCUUACGUUUUCACACAAACUUUGUAUGCAGUGUAGAAUGUAUUUUUUGUUUUGCGAUCACGCAAUCAAUACAACUUUCAACAACGGAUCUCUUGGCUCUC
rnacentral:misc_RNA from 1 species